rnacentral:rRNA from 1 species
UCGAGAAUAAUUCACAAUGGGGGCAACCCUGAUGGUGCAACGCCGCGUGGAGGAUGAAGGUCUUCGGAUUGUAAACUCCUGUCAUCUGGGAGUAAGACCUGGCUGUGAAUAGCAGACAGGGUUGAUAGUACCAGAAGAGGAAGGGACGGCUAACUUCGUGCCAGCAGCCGCGGUAAUACGAAGGUCCCGAGCGUUGUUCGGAAUCACUGGGCGUAAAGGGAGCGUAGGCGGCGUGGUAAGUCAGAUGUGAAAUCCCGGGGCUCAACCCCGGAACUGCAUCCGAUACUGCCGUGCUAGAGGAUUGGAGAGGUAGCUGGAAUUCUUGGUGUAGCAGUGAAAUGCGUGGAGAUCAAGAGGAACACUCGUGGCGAAAGCGAGCUACUGGACAAUAUCUGACGCUGAGGCUCGAAGGCCAGGGUAGCGAAAG